rnacentral:rRNA from 1 species
ACGGAAGGCAGCAGUGGGGGAUCUUGCGCCAAUGCGCGAAAGCGUGACGCAGCGACGCCGCGUGGGGGAUGAAGGCCCUCGGGUUGUAAACCCCUUUCGGCAGGGACGAAGCGAAAGUGACGGUACCUGCAGAAGAAGUCCCGGCUAACUACGUGCCAGCAGCCGCGGUAACACGUAGGGGACGAGCGUUGUCCGGAUUUAUUGGGCGUAAAGCGCGCGUAGGCGGCUCGGAAAGUCGGUCGUGAAAGGCUGGGGCUCAACCCCAGGACUGCGUCCGAUACUUCCGAGCUGGAGGCAGGUAGGGGAGAUCGGAAUUCCUGGUGUAGCGGUGAAAUGCGCAGAUAUCAGGAGGAACACCGGUGGCGAAGGCGGAUCUCUGGGCCUUGCCUGACGCUGAGGCGCGAAAGCUAGGGGAGCGAACAGGAUUAGAUACCCUGGUA